UACGUAGGGUGCGAGCGUUAAUCGGAAUUACUGGGCGUAAAGCGUGCGCAGGCGGUUCGUUGUGUCGGCGGUGAAAGCCCCGGGCUUAACCUGGGAAUGGCCGUCGAAACUGGCGAACUGGAGUGUGGCAGAGGGGGUGGAAUUCCGCGUGUAGCAGUGAAAUGCGUAGAGAUGCGGAGGAACACCGAUGGCGAAGGCAGCCCCCUGGGCUAACACUGACGCUCAGGCACGAAAGCGUGGGGAGCAAACAGG
rnacentral:rRNA from 1 species